rfam:Heterocephalus glaber contig157625, whole genome shotgun sequence.
GGAUGUGAGGGCAAUCUGGCUGCGACAUCUGUCACCCCAUUGAUCGCCAGGGCUGAUUUGGCUGAUCUGGCUGUCUAGGCGGGUGUCCCCUUCCUCCCUCACCGCUCCAUGUGCAACCCUCCCGAAGCUGUGUGGUUAGUCGAAGAGGACGACCACCCCCGAUAGAGGAGGACCAUUUCCUCGGUCAAGGGUAUACGAGUAGCUGCGCUCCCUGCUAGAACCUCCAAACAAGCUCUCAAGAUGUGUUCUAUACAUGCACCAACUCCACACAAUGUAAACAUUAUAUACUGCAAAUAUGUAGGAUGAAAAGUAAAAAAGAAAGAACAGACAACAAAGCACUGAGCCAGGUGCAUGCCUGUAAUU